rnacentral:rRNA from 1 species
GAUGAACGCUGGCGGCGUGCCUAAUACAUGCAAGUCGAGCGAACAGACGAGGAGCUUGCUCCUCUGACGUUAGCGGCGGACGGGUGAGUAACACGUGGAUAACCUACCUAUAAGACUGGGAUAACUUCGGGAAACCGGAGCUAAUACCGGAUAAUAUAUUGAACCGCAUGGUUCAAUAGUGAAAGACGGUUUUGCUGUCACUUAUAGAUGGAUCCGCGCCGCAUUAGCUAGUUGGUAAGGUAACGGCUUACCAAGGCAACGAUGCGUAGCCGACCUGAGAGGGUGAUCGGCCACACUGGAACUGAGACACGGUCCAGACUCCUACGGGAGGCAGCAGUAGGGAAUCUUCCGAAAUGGGCGAAAGCCUGACGGAGCAACGCCGCGUGAGUGAUGAAGGUCUUCGGAUCGUAAAACUCUGUUAUUAGGGAAGAACAAAUGUGUAAGUAACUAUGCACGUCUUGACGGUACCUAAUCAGAAAGCAACGGCUAACUACGG